UUUUACUCCUACGGGAGGCAGCAGUGGGGAAUAUUGCACAAUGGGCGCAAGCCUGAUGCAGCAACGCCGCGUGAGGGACGACGGCCUUCGGGUUGUAAACCUCUUUUAGCAGGGAAGAAGCGAAAGUGACGGUACCUGCAGAAAAAGCGCCGGCUAACUACGUGCCAGCAGCCGCGGUAAUACGUAGGGCGCAAGCGUUAUCCGGAAUUAUUGGGCGUAAAGAGCUCGUAGGCGGUUUGUCGCGUCUGCUGUGAAAUCCGGAGGCUCAACCUCCGGCCUGCAGUGGGUACGGGCAGACUAGAGUGCGGUAGGGGAGAUUGGAAUUCCUGGUGUAGCGGUGGAAUGCGCAGAUAUCAGGAGGAACACCGAUGGCGAAGGCAGAUCUCUGGGCCGUAACUGACGCUGAGGAGCGAAAGGGUGGGGAGCAAACAGGCUUAGAUACCCUGGUAGUCCACCCCGUAAACGUUGGGAACUAGUUGUGGGGUCCAUUCCACGGAUUCCGUGACGCAGCUAACGCAUUAAGUUCCCCGCCUGGGGAGUACGGCCGCAAGGCUAAAACUCAAAGGAAUUGACGGGGACCCGCACAAGCGGCGGAGCAUGCGGAUUAAUUCGAUGCAACGCGAAGAACCUUACCAAGGCUUGACAUAUACGAGAACGGGCCAGAAAUGGUCAACU
rnacentral:rRNA from 1 species